GUCUACGGCCAUACCACCCUGAACGCACCCAAUCUCGUCUGAUCUCGGAAGCUAAGCAGGGUCGGGCCUGGUUAGUACUUGGAUGGGAGACCUCCUGGGAAUACCAGGUGCUGUAGGCU
rnacentral:rRNA from 1 species